UCAGAUGAACGCUAGCUACAGGCUUAACACAUGCAAGUCGAGGGGCAGCAUGGUCUUAGCUUGCUAAGGCCGAUGGCGACCGGCGCACGGGUGAGUAACACGUAUCCAACCUGCCGUCUACUCUUGGACAGCCUUCUGAAAGGAAGAUUAAUACAAGAUGGCAUCAUGAGUCCGCAUGUUCACAUGAUUAAAGGUAUUCCGGUAGACGAUGGGGAUGCGUUCCAUUAGAUAGUAGGCGGGGUAACGGCCCACCUAGUCUUCGAUGGAUAGGGGUUCUGAGAGGAAGGUCCCCCACAUUGGAACUGAGACACGGUCCAAACUCCUACGGGAGGCAGCAGUGAGGAAUAUUGGUCAAUGGGCGAGAGCCUGAACCAGCCAAGUAGCGUGAAGGAUGACUGCCCUAUGGGUUGUAAACUUCUUUUAUAAAGGAAUAAAGUCGGGUAUGGAUACCCGUUUGCAUGUACUUUAUGAAUAAGGAUCGGCUAACUCCGUGCCAGCAGCCGCGGUAAUACGGAGGAUCCGAGCGUUAUCCGGAUUUAUUGGGUUUAAAGGGAGCGUAGAUGGAUGUUUAAGUCAGUUGUGAAAGUUUGCGGCUCAACCGUAAAAUUGCAGUUGAUACUGGAUAUCUUGAGUGCAGUUGAGGCAGGCGGAAUUCGUGGUGUAGCGGUGAAAUGCUUAGAUAUCACGAAGAACUCCGAUUGCGAAGGCAGCCUGCUAAGCUGCAACUGACAUUGAGGCUCGAAAGUGUGGGUAUCAACAGGAUA
rnacentral:rRNA from 1 species